rnacentral:rRNA from 1 species
GACGAACGCUGGCGGCGUGCUUAACACAUGCAAGUCGAGCGGAAAGGCUCCUUCGGGGGUACUCGAGCGGCGAACGGGUGAGUAACACGUGAGUAAUCUGCCCUUGGCUUCGGGAUAACUACCGGAAACGGUGGCUAAUACCGGAUAUGACCACUCCUUGCAUGAGGUGGUGGUGGAAAGUUUUUUCGGCCAGGGAUGUGCUCGCGGCCUAUCAGCUUGUUGGUGGGGUAAUGGCCUACCAAGGCUUCGACGGGUAGCCGGCCUGAGAGGGUGACCGGCCACACUGGGACUGAGACACGGCCCAGACUCCUACGGGAGGCAGCAGUGGGGAAUAUUGGACAAUGGGCGGAAGCCUGAUCCAGCAACGCCGCGUGAGGGAUGACGGCCUCGGUUGUAACCGUACUUUCAGUACCGACGAGACGCCGAUGAUGGUGGUGGACGGUAGGUAC